rnacentral:rRNA from 1 species
UACGAAGGGGGCUAGCGUUGCUCGGAAUCACUGGGCGUAAAGCGCACGUAGGCGGGUUCUUAAGUCAGGGGUGAAAUCCUGGAGCUCAACUCCAGAACUGCCUUUGAUACUGGGAAUCUCGAGUCCGGGAGAGGUGAGUGGAACUGGCGAGUGUAGAGGUGAAAUUCGUAGAUAUUCGCAAGAACACCAGUGGCGAAGGCGGCUCACUGGCCCGGUACUGACGCUGAGGUGCGAAAGCGUGGGGAGCAAACAGGG